rnacentral:rRNA from 1 species
CGCAUCUGUGCAUGCAGCAUAUCAAUAAGCGGAGGAAAAGAAACUAACAAGGAUUCCCUUAGUAACGGCGAGUGAAGCGGGAAGAGCUCAAAUUUGAAAUCUUCAAGGUUUUACCUUGACGAAUUGUAGUUUAAAGAAGUGUUUUCUGUUGAAGUUUUGGUAAAAGUUCUUUGGAAUAGGACAUCAUAGAGGGUGAGAAUCCCGUAUUUGACCAUUAUUUUCAGCUGUGUGAUACACUUUCAAAGAGUCGGAUUGUUUGGGAAUGCAGUCCAAAAUGGGUGGUAAAUUUCAUCUAAAGCUAAAUAUUGGCGAGAGACCGAUAGCGAACAAGUACCGUGAGGGAAAGAUGAAAAGAACUUUGAAAAGAGAGUUAAACAGUACGUGAAAUUGUCAAAAGGGAAGCGUUUGACACCAGUGUUGUUUUCUCGAAAAUCAAUUAAAAGAGUUUGAUUUUGUUGUGUAUUGACCUUAACAGCUUGCAUUUCAAUUUUCUUGCUUUUUUUAAUGCACUUUUCGUUUAACAAGUCAACAUCAGUUUCUUUUGUUGUAAAAAGGUCAUUGGAAGGUGGCUUUCUUUUCGGAGAAAGUGUUUAGUAGCCUUUGACUCCUGCAAUCGGAGAGACUGAGGUCUGCAGCGUAGAUCCUUCGGGGUUAGAUACAUUGUGCUAAGUUAUAGCUUUUUAUAGACAACUUGUUGACUAUGAUUAGUCUUGUAGCUUACUCGCUUAUGCUAUUUUACCUACGCUUAGGAUGUUGACACACGCGCGUGCUCG